CCUACGGGCGGCAGCAGUGGGGAAUAUUGCACAAUGGGCGAAAGCCUGAUGCAGCAACGCCGCGUGAAGGAAGAAGGGUUUCGGCUCGUAAACUUCUAUCAACAGGGACGAAAGACAUGACGGUCCCUGACUACGAAGCCCCGGCUAACUACGUGCCAGCAGCCGCGGUAAUACGUAGGGGGCAAGCGUUAUCCGGAUUUACUGGGUGUAAAGGGAGCGUAGACGGCGUGCCAAGUCUGGUGUGAAAGGCCGGGGCUCAACCCCGGGACUGCAUUGGAAACUGGCAUGCUGGAGUGCCGGAGGGGCAAGCGGAAUUCCUAGUGUAGCGGUGAAAUGCGUAGAUAUUAGGAGGAACACCGGUGGCGAAGGCGGCUUGCUGGACGGUAACUGACGUUGAGGCUCGAAAGCGUGGGGAGCAAACAGGAUUAGAUACCCCUGUAGUC
rnacentral:rRNA from 1 species